rnacentral:lncRNA from 1 species
GAGAGAAGGGGAGGCCGGGGGGCCGCUUGGUGCCCAAGAUUUCUCAGACGUCCCAGAGCCCUGACUCUGCUGCCAGCUUGCUUUACAGUGAGGCCAAGGAAGGAGCCACGGAGGGUGUGCUGGCCCUAGGAGCAGGAUUCCUGUGUGUUCACUAAGCUUGCAGCAUCAAGAAGCCACCAGCCAGCAUGGACAUGUGAGCGUCAGAGGGCCCAGCCAGCUGGAGCCCGUGCUGCAACCCAGCCAGGAUUCCCUUUCCUGACGCCGCGGUGCCCAUCUGCCUCCACCGAUGGAUCUCACAGGCAAUGCCAGGCUUGGUUAUACUUCACACAGACAACCAUAGCACACCUGCCUGAAAUCUCUCCUGUAAAUUCCUAACC